CAAAAUUUGACAAGAGAUUCACGCUGGAAAUAAGGAUGAGUCUCGAUUUGAUUCACAGCAGGCUUCACUUUGGAAUAUGCUAGGCAAUCUCGGGUGAGAAAGAUGUCGUAGUUGCUGCACAUCGAUUGCAAGAAUGUAGGUGAUAGAGUUGGCUUUUCACAAUUUUAUAAGGGCUGUAGACAAGACAAGAUGACUUCGAGAAGGAUGAAUUCAUCUCAAGCAAUACUGAGCAAUUUGUUUGUUCGUUGAAACACUACAUAUUUGUCAGUGCAUUGGAGCGACCCAAACUCAUGGAAGAAAUGGCCAAACAAUAUCUGGUUUUUGUCAAAAAUGCCUGACUUCAGCAAUAAUACUAUCCACAGCACAGUAGUAUCAUGAAGCAGAAGAAUGAAUCUGCUGGCCAUAGCAGCUGAAUAAAGGUUAGUACAGAUUUUUAAGUCGUAA